GCCUACGGGGGGCAGCAGUAGGGAAUCUUGCACAAUGGGCGAAAGCCUGAUGCAGCAACGCCGCGUGCGCGAUGAAGGCCUUCGGGUCGUAAAGCGCUUUUCUGGGAGACGAGGAAGGACGGUAUCCCAGGAAGAAGGCUCGGCUAACUACGUGCCAGCAGCCGCGGUAAAACGUAGGAGCCAAGCGUUAUCCGAAUUUACUGGGCGUAAAGCGCGUGCAGGCGGCUCGAUAAGUUGGCUGUGAAAUCUCCUGGCUCAACUGGGAGAGGCCGGUCAAGACUGUCGGGCUGGAGGGCAGUAGAGGGAGGUGGAAUUCCCGGUGUAGUGGUGAAAUGCGUAGAGAUCGGGAGGAACACCAGUGGCGAAAGCGGCCUCCUGGACUGUACCUGACGCUCAGACGCGAAAGCUAGGGGAGCGAACGGGAUUAGAUACCCGGGUAGUCCA
rnacentral:rRNA from 1 species